AUAUUGCGAGAGAUGAAGUAGCGGGAGUAAGGGCUUAUGUAGACUUUUCUGAGAUGAGACUCACUUUCCAAAUACGCAACACAGCAGAGAGAAUGUGUGGAGGAAUGGCUGUGUGAAAAAGGCCACGACUUUAUUGCGAUGAGCAACCCAGUCUUUGAUGUAGAUAAAGGCCUGGAGAUGACCGUGAACUCUCCUGGGAAAAGCAGAAGUAAGCAGCAGCAGCUACUUGGUAGAUAAGAUAAACGGGACCGCAUCCAGAAGAUGAGAGAAUGUUGCUGCGCGUGGACAAGGGAGAUCGGAAGAGCAU